rnacentral:rRNA from 1 species
AUUGAACGCUGGCGGCAUGCUUUACACAUGCAAGUCGAACGGUAACAGGUUAAGCUGACGAGUGGCGAACGGGUGAGUAAUGCAUCGGAACGUGCCCGCUCGUGGGGGAUAACACUUCGAAAGAAGUGCUAAUACCGCAUACGAUCUGAGGAUGAAAGUGGGGGACCGCAAGACCUCGCGCGAUUGGAGCGGCCGAUAUCAGAUUAGGUAGUUGGUGGGGUAAAGGCUCACAAAGCCAACGAUCUGUAGCUGGUCUGAGAGGACGACCAGCCACACUGGAACUGAGACACGGUCCAGACUCCUACGGGAGGCAGCAGUGGGGAAUUUUGGACAAUGGACGCAAGUCUGAUCCAGCCAUUCCGCGUGCAGGAUGACGGCCCUCGGGUUGUAAACUGCUUUUGUACGGAACGAAAAGGUCUCUCUUAAUACGGGGGGCUCAUGACGGUACCGUAAGAAUAAGCACCGGCUAACUACGUGCCAGCCGCCGCAGUAA